CCGGAGGGGUGGCCGAGUGGUUUAAGGCGCACGCCUGGAAAGCGUGUUGGUGGGCCAAAUCCUGCCUCGAGGGUUCGAAUCCCUCCUCNNUAGGCCA
rnacentral:tRNA from 1 species